rnacentral:rRNA from 1 species
AUCUCCAGCCAUACCACUCUGCACCCGCACAAUCUCAUGUGAUCUUGGAAGCUAAGCAGGGUUAGGCAUGGCUAAUACUUGCAUGGGAGCCCUCUACAGCUGUUAUGGUUUGGAGCAG